GUAGUCCACGCCCUAAACGAUGCAUAUUUGGUGUGGGCCAUUCAUUUGGUCUGUGCCGGAGCUAACGCGUUAAAUAUGCCGCCUGGGGAGUACAGUCGCAAGGCUGAAACUCAAAGGAAUUGACGGGGGCCCGCACAAGCGGUGGAGCAUGUGGUUUAAUUCGACGCAACGCGAAGAACCUUACCUGGGCUCGAAAUGCUAUGGACCAGCUGGUGAAAGCCGGCCUUCCCGCAAGGGACUGUAGUAUAGGUGCUGCAUGGCUGUCGUCAGCUCGUGUCGUGAGAUGUUGGGUUAAGUCCCGCAACGAGCGCAACCCUUGUCCUGUGUUGCCAUCAUUUAGUUGGGAACUCGCAGGAGACCGCCAGGGAUAACCUGGA
rnacentral:rRNA from 1 species